ACAUAUAAAAAAUAUUAAGUGAAGUUUUUUUUUAAAAAUAAUGAAUUAUACAAAUAGAAAACUCAAUUAAAAUAAAAUUAAAAUAACAGGGAUAAUUUAUAAAUAAACUAUUGAAAUUAAAAAAGGGACCAAAGCGCAAUUCGUGCGCAUGCACAAGGAUCAAAUCCGGAAAUAUUCCAGAUCCCAAAACACAACACUUAGGUGAGGACCAAAUUGGAUCAGUGUGCAAAUUGCAAAGAAAAAUUAAAAAACCAAAGAGAUCAAAACAUGAUUCAAUUGAAUGACUCAACAAAGAAGAGGGACUAUGCGCGCAAAUUGACCUUUCAAAGUAAAAGGGCGCGAAUCCGGACCUCCCAACGGGUCAACACGCGGAUCCUUUUUUUACAAACGCCGCCGUUUCAUAUAUUUCAUAAAAAACAGAAGAAAAAAAACCUAAAAUGAACCCCUAAUUAUUCUAAACAAAAUCAAAACAAAGAACCUUUCCUAUCUCUCUUUCAUUCAGUCGAACCAGACGAUUCCUUGCCCCCAACUGCUAGCUCACCACCGCAGUCGGCGGAUGGCGUCAUACAAGGGCCAAACCCGAUCCUAUUGGAAGCCAAACCCUUCUAAUUCCCCUUUAAGCUUCAAUCUCAACGAAACAAACAAGGAAUCGGAGGUGUUUUUCAACAACAGAUAAGUCCCUUUCCCCCUUAUAGAUUUAUUUUUUCAUGCAACAGAUAAAGAUUGCUGAAAUAGAAACGAAAAUCAAAGAAGAACGCGAUCUAAAAUCGCCUUAAAAACUGAUUUCGAAUUGAUUUUCUUAAUAUGCGUGUAUUCCCCCAUUUUAAUUCGUUUCAUUCGAUUUUAUAGCCGAAAAAUAAAAAAUAAAAAAUAAAAAGAAAUACAAAUUUCAUUGCUGUCAUUUUGCUGUUAUUUGCUGCUUUCUCCUUUUGUUUGUUAGUUUGUUGCAGGUGUGUAAGGCGUGGAGGAAUGAAGAUCGUGACAUGAAGGCUGGUUCCGUUGUGAGGCUGCGGCGCGCGUUUUAGGGUUUCCUGAGUGUUUUGUUGUUUUGGGUUAGGGGUUUAUUUUAUUUUGGGCUAAUAAUUUGCUUGUAAGUGGGCUAGAUAAUUAGGCUUGUAACAGCGACAUUGGACUUAAUCAUUUUAGUUUUAUUUUUGGUUUUGGUUUUGGUGUAAGCCCGGGCAAAUUUGGGCUUGUACAUUUGAUAUUCAUUUUACUUUGAAAAUUUGGUCAUUAAUCUUGGCAUAUAAGUAAUUAAUCAACCAUAAAAUUUACCUUUCUUUUCUCCGCUUUUUUUAUAUAAAAAAAUAAUCAAGUAAACUUAAGAGGAAAUAAAUGUGGUUAGUCCAAAGAUAAAUAUUAAAAAUAAAGAACAAAUAAACUACAUACCAAAUAACAUUAAGGUGCAAUCACAUAGAAUUUGCAUUUGUUUACCUUGAAACAAUGCACCUUACCUACAAACAUAGAAUUAAGGUUU
rnacentral:lncRNA from 1 species